rnacentral:lncRNA from 1 species
UCAUCUUCUGCUUCCAACUCGGCAUCCUGUACUUUUAAUCUGCAUUUUGAGCUCCAUGGUGUUCAGCCCAUGUUCAACAUCCCCAACAUGAAAUGCACUCCGUUCUGCCCAGAGCCAUGCCGAACAAGAAACAUGAGCGCGGCCGUGGGGCCUGAGGUCCUGGUCUGUGAUCUUUCCCCACAGCUGACUAGCAGUGGAAUGUUUAACUUCUGUUUGAGAGAGGACUGUGAAAACGCCCGACGCCCAACAUCAAGACCAUCUGCCCUUUGAGAGUGAGGACUGCGCUGGUUCUCCUCGUCUCUUCCGAUCUGUACACCACCCAUCCAUCUUACCCUUGGUCAACCAUUGAUUCAGCGUGUGUGUUCAUGCAUGCGUGCAUCUAUGUGCCUGUGUUCAUCGCCUACUGUGUACCAGGCCAUGUUACUGGGAUCAACCUCAGUUCCUCUUGUCCUGUUUAUAAAUACCCAUAACAAACAGAUUUAAUACCCAUAUACAUAACACCCGUAGGACACAGGUUUCUCCUGUCUAUAAAUCCCCACA